CAGGGUGGAGCUAAGACAGUUAAGCAUUUCCCUUACACCGAAAAGACAUCCAUGCAAUUUGGGUCACCCUGA
rnacentral:tRNA from 1 species